AAAGUUCGACUUCGUUUUUUUUCCUGGCUAACUUAACUUAAACACACUGCGAAGGUGGUAAAGCGAUAAAGGUGCUAUAGCUGCGAGCUGCGAGCUGCUAAAAAUAAAGCAAAUCGGUGGAAUAUUUUUUUGGCGACAAAAAUAAAUGUUGCCAGAUAUGAAGAAAACAUGUGCCACUGCCACAUUGCGAGGCGUUGCAGCAGCGCUGGCGCGAAAAAAGUUACUUCUUAUAAAAAUUUACAACCAUCACGCCACAGCGCAAGGUUCAAAAGUAAAAAACGCAUUAUCGUUUUUUUUCACACUUUGUUGCCACAAAGAACACUUUAUCCGGCCAAAAAUUACAACCAACCAAAAAUUCAACAUUCGAAAAGCCAACUGUCAGGAGCUAAAAUGGCGCAGUACAUCACCAAAGUGGCUAAGAGAGCUAAGUGCAACGACUAAACUUGGCUGGUGACAAAGGGAUAACGAGCCAUAACGAAAGCAACAAACUCUGCAUUCGAACGCAUCACGACGGCGAAGAAAAAAUUGCAAAUUCAGCAUUGCUGGUGUUAUACGAAGCAGCUAGCAGGACUACAAGCAAAAUGAAGCUUACAACAAUAAAAACAAUAACAAAUAAUAUGAGCAUGAGACAAGAACUACCAAGGCGGAAUUACACUCAUGGGCAAAAUAUUAGGUCUACUGGAAAGCUCUGUCCGAAUCUAUGACAUCAUUUUCGCCACUGAUCGAGGACGCUGUUGUUAAGGCAAUGCUGGCGCAAAAUCCGUUUCUGAGAUUUUGAGGAGAUCGCAGAAAGGCUUACUCAUUACUAAU